ACAGAGGGUGCGAGCGUUGUCCGGAAUCACUGGGCGUAAAGGGCGCGUAGGUGGCGGGAUAAGCGUGCGGUGAAAGCCCGGGGCUCAACUCCGGGUCUGCCGUGCGGACUGUUUCGCUCGAGCGUAGUAGAGGCAGGUGGAAUUCCGGGUGUAGCGGUGGAAUGCGUAGAGAUCCGGAAGAACACCGGUGGCGAAGGCGGCCUGCUGGGCUACUGCUGACACUGAGGCGCGACAGCGUGGGGAGCAAACAGGAUUAGAUACCCUGGUAGUCCACGCCGUAAACGAUGGGUACUAGGUGUCUGGGGGAGCGACCCCCUGGGUGCCGGCGCUAACGCAUGAAGUACCCCGCCUGGGGAGUACGGCCGCAAGGCUG
rnacentral:rRNA from 1 species